GUAUCGCGUUACCGAGAUCGAGGCCUUCAUCGCGCGGCGGGUGAUCCAGACCUCGUCGAUCAUUCUGGCGAACCUCAUUCUCGGCGAGAAUGUGAUCCCGGAAUUCCUGCAACAGGAUUUCACGGCGGAAANCUGCCUUGCGCGAUAUUCUUGAAGAUACCCCGGCGCGGCAACGUCAGGUGGAUGCGUUUGACCGGCUGGAAGAUAUCAUGUCCACGGGCGGCAAGCGGCCCAGCGAGCUUGCGG
rnacentral:misc_RNA from 1 species